AUUGAACGCUGGCGGCAUGCCUUACACAUGCAAGUCGAACGGCAGCGCGGGAGCAAUCCUGGCGGCGAGUGGCGAACGGGUGAGUAAUAUAUCGGAACGUGCCCAGUAGUGGGGGAUAGCCCGGCGACAGCCGGAUUAAUACCGCAUACGACCUACGGGUGAAAGGGGUCGGAUCGCAAGACCUCUCGCUAUUGGAGCGGCCGAUAUCAGACUUAGGUAGUUGGUGGGGUAAAGGCCUACCAAGCCUGCGAUCUGUAGUUGGUCUGAGAGGACGACCAGCCACACUGGAACUGAGACACGGUCCAGACUCCUACGGGAGGCAGCAGUGGGGAAUUUUGGACAAUGGGCGCAAGCCUGAUCCAGCCAUACCGCGUGAGUGAAGAAGGCCUCGGUUGUAAG
rnacentral:rRNA from 1 species